rnacentral:lncRNA from 1 species
GGUUGAAGAGAGAGAAUGAUUGUUAGGUGGGGACAUGGAUGAAGGGGAGUCACAUUUCUGUGCCUUGUUAACAUUUUUAGCUCACAUUCAAAGUAACAAAGAACAAUUCCUACCUUUGUAUUUACCGAAUAUAUUUGUUUAAUGCUAUGUGUGAAUGAUCCUAACAUUCUCUCUCCCCCCACCCCCACAACCAAUUUGACAGCUUUUUUUCCACUUACAAAGAGAACGGUCCUUUCCUGAGCACAGAGCUAGGUUUUACGCUGCUGAAAUUGCUAGUGCAUUGGGUUACUUACAUUCCAUCAAAAUAGUAUACAGGUACAAUUUUAAAAUAUACUUGUAAAAAUUGUAUAUAACAAUAUUUUAUUUCGGUUUGUAUUCAGUUUUGCGUUUCUUUCCUUUUAAUUUGAUAGAGACUUGAAACCAGAAAAUAUUCUUUUGGAUUCAGUAGGACAUGUUGUCUUAACAGAUUUUGGGCUUUGUAAAGAAGGAAUUGCUAUUUCUGACACCACUACCACAUUUUGUGGGACACCAGAGUAUCUUGCACCUGAAGUAAUUAGAAAACAGCCCUAUGACAAUACUGUAGAUUGGUGGUGCCUU